rnacentral:rRNA from 1 species
UACGUAGGGUGCGAGCGUUAAUCGGAAUUACUGGGCGUAAAGCGUGCGCAGGCGGUUUUGUAAGCCAGAUGUGAAAGCCCCGGGCUUAACCUGGGAAUGGCAUUUGGGACUGCAAGGCUUGAGUGCGGCAGAGGAGACUGGAAUUCCUGGUGUAGCAGUGAAAUGCGUAGAUAUCAGGAGGAAUACCGAUGGCGAAGGCAGGUCUCUGGGCUGACACUGACGCUCAUGCACGAAAGCGUGGGAGCAAACGAGGAUACGAAACCC